rnacentral:rRNA from 1 species
GUGUCAGCAGCCGCGGUAAGACGAAGGUGGCAAGCGUUAUUCGGAUUUACUGGGCAUAAAGCGCGCGUAGGCGGCUUGGCAAGUCGGGGGUGAAAGCCCGCAGCUCAACUGCGGAACUGCCUUCGAUACUGCCGGGCUUGAGGGCGGGAGGGGUGAUUGGAACUCCAGGUGUAGCGGUGAAAUGCGUAGAUAUCUGGAGGAACACCGGAGGCGAAGGCGAAUCACUGGACCGCUUCUGACGCUGAGGCGCGAAAGCUAGGGGAGCAAACAGGAUUAGAAACCCGCGUAGUCC